rnacentral:ncRNA from 2 species
AUGAUGGUAUUGGGAGAGAUUACCGACAGACUGACAGGUAGCGCCGAAGGAGUAAGCCGGAUCACGGUGAAUCUCUCAGGCAAAAGGACCUUUACCGGACG